CCUAGAGUUGUAGGCUUUGCCUGCUAUCCCUUACCCAUGUCUUUUGAGUACCUUACGUUUCCUCGGUGGGUUCGCCCACCGAUUGGACAAACUUAAACCCUUUGCAGUUGAAAUCAGCGUCUGAAAAAACUUAAUAGUUA
rnacentral:misc_RNA from 1 species